CUUGUUUGGUCUGCCACAAGCGGGUUUUCAAUUCAAAGAUUUGGGAAGCAUUUUCGGUGUCUGAGUAGGUGUCUUUUACGGCAUCCCAUACAUCUUUCGCUGUAGGAAGGAAUAGAUAAGUUUUCCCUAUAGAGGGCUUCAUCGAAUUCACUAGCCAGGCAAUGACCAUGGAGUUUUCGGAGUGCCACCGUUGCUGCAGAGUUGUGUCGGCCGGUUUCUUUGUCUCGCCGGUAAGGUACCCCAACUUUCCUUUUCCGUCAAUCACCAGUUUAAUCGACUGGGCCCAUUCACGGUAGUUUUUCCCGUUUAAUUUUUCAACGGUAAGCUGAAACGAGGAAUUCUUGAAUGCAGUCUGACCAAUUGAGGAAUUACCCUCUGUUUAUGCACCUGACAUUGUCGAGGUAGAACUAUCGGCAGGGAAUUCCAUAGUUUUCUAGAUGAGAG
rnacentral:lncRNA from 1 species